rnacentral:rRNA from 1 species
UACGUAGGGGGCAAGCGUUGUCCGGAAUCAUUGGGCGUAAAGAGCGUGUAGGCGGCUCGAUAAGUCCGCUGUGAAAGUCCAGGGCUCAACCCUGGAAGGCCGGUGGAAACUGUCGGGCUAGAGUCCGGAAGAGGCGAGUGGAAUUCCUGGUGUAGCGGUGAAAUGCGUAGAUAUCAGGAGGAACACCGGUGGUGUAAACGGCUCUCUGGACCGUAACUGGACGCUGAAGACGACGAAAGCGUGGGUAGCAAACAGG